rnacentral:rRNA from 1 species
UACGAAGGGGGCUAGCGUUGCUCGGAAUCACUGGGCGUAAAGCGCACGUAGGCGGCUUUCUAAGUCAGGGGUGAAAUCCUGGAGCUCAACUCCAGAACUGCCUUUGAUACUGGAGAGCUUGAGUCCGGGAGAGGUGAGUGGAACUCCGAGUGUAGAGGUGAAAUUCGUAGAUAUUCGCAAGAACACCAGUGGCGAAGGCGGCUCACUGGCCCGGUACUGACACUGAGGUGCGAAAGCGUGGGGAGCAAACAGG